GCGGGAUGUGCCCUAGUGGGUUAAACCGGUAUGGCGGCUUGUUAGACAAAAGGGGAGUGGGGGUCAGCUGAGAAGACACUACUGAGUUGAUAAUUGUAACAAUUGAAAUGCUAAUACUUUGCACAUGAACGUUCACUCAUUUGGGAAUAAUUGCAAUCAAUAUAUAUAUUUACGCUCAGUGUGUCAUCGGGAUCUCUGUUGAAAAGUUUGUUUCUGUUGGAGAGUUUGUCCGCCCUCUCUCUCUCGCUGUCGUGGUUAGAAUGGAUAAUUCAGAGUGACGUUCAUUCAGGUCGUUAUAGAAUAGAUGUUUCUGCGGUUGUCGGUCUUCGCGUUCAAUGAUACCGAAUUCCUAGCUGCAGACUAGUAAUUAAUAUCAAAGACUUGCUCUUAUUCUGUCGGUAUCGAUAGUCUUAGAGUUUAACCACGUGGGAUGGUUAAAAGAUUCAGCAAUCUACUCAAACCCUUAUUUCCCUCUGUGACAGAGGUACUGGUCUGAUCUCAAACCUUGGCCCUCUCGUUAUUGAGGUAAGCUGGUCUGGUGAUAGAAAACCCAGGUGGGGGUUUUAUUCGGAACAUCGAAAGGGGCUGUCUCAUGACGCCCGGUCCUGUCUGUGCCCCUGGGAGUGUUCUCAUGACGCCAGGUCCUGUCUGUGCCCCUGGGGGUGUUCUCAUGACGUCAGGUCCUGUCUGUGCCCCUGGGGGUGUUCUCAUGAUGCCAGGUCCUGUCUGUGCCCCUGGGGGUGUUCCCAUGACGCCAGGUCCUGUCUGUGCCCCUGGGGGUGUUCCCAUGACGCCAGGUCCUGUCUGUGCCCCUGGGGGUGUUCCCAUGACGCCAGGUCCUGUCUGUGCCCCUGGGGGUGUUCCCAUGACGCCAGGUCCUGUCUGUGCCCCUAGGGGUGUUCCCAUGACGCCAGGUCCUGUCUGUGCCCCUGGGGGUGUUCCUAUGAUGCCAGGUCCUGUCUGCCCCUGGGGGUGUUCUCAUGACGCCAGGUCCUGUCUGCCCCUGGGGGUGUUCUCAUGACGCCAGGUCCUGUCUGUGCCCCUGGGGGUGUUCCCAUGACGCCAGGUCCUGUCUGCCCCUGGGGGUGUUCUCAUGACGCCAGGUCCUGUCUGCCCCUGGGGGUGUUCUCAUGACGCCAGGUCCUGUCUGCCCCUGGGGGUGUUCUCAUGACACCAGGUCCUGUCUGUGCCCCUGGGGGUGUUCUCAUGACGCCAGGUCCUGUCUGUGCCCCUGGGGGUGUUCUCAUGACGCCAGGUCCUGUCUGUGCCCCUGGGGGUGUUCCCAUGACGCCAGGUCCUGUCUGUGCCCCUGGGGGUGUUCCCAUGACGCCAGGUCCUGUCUGUGCCCCUGGGGGUGUUCCCAUGACGCCAGGUCCUGUCUGUGCCCCUGGGGGUGUGCCAAGGACUUAGUGAAACUUUAAACAGAAAUACAAUUCUCUCACAUUAACAUAAUUACAUAGCAU
ensembl:lncRNA